rnacentral:misc_RNA from 1 species
UUUCCGUAGGUGAACCUGCGGAAGGAUCAUUAAAGUUAUAGUCCCCCGGCCCUCUGGGCUGGGGUCUUCUAUACCACCCUUUGUUUAUUACACCUUUGUUGCUUUGGCAGGCCUGCCCUCGGGCUGCUGGCUCCGGCCGGCUCGCGUCCGCCAGAGGACCUAAACUCUGUUUGUAUAUGAAGUCUGAGUACUAUAUAAUAGUUAAAACUUUCAACAACGGAUCUCUUGGUUCUG